AUUGCAGCUUGCAUGCAAACUCGACAGCCUUUAAGGCUUUAUACUGACAUAGCUGAUCAUGAGUAGACUAUUGCAGUGUUAUAUUACCUGUCUUGUACUUCAACUAAUCUCGUUUCCAGUUCCUUCUGCAAGAGUUCCUUUUAAUUCGACACCGACAGCUAUUAUUAGAAAUAUAGAGUUGAUUGAAUGGAUCUUGUAAUUUUGUAUUGAUCCUCGAUGCACUCGCAUCGACGCUCCCUUCGUGAUCAUGUGACUGCCCUAUUGCUUGUCAGGUGACUCACUGUGGAGCUUCUUUGACACUUCGCGCGACGUGUAACGAGCACAAAGUCAAAGAAAAAGUAUAGAUUUUUCAACUUUGUAUGGUAAUAGACAUGGACUCAAAUAAGAGAGAAAUUAGCAGAAAUGUGCGAAAGAAACUAUCAAAGUUGGUUGGUGAUUUGAACAGAUUUGAGCCCAGAACUAAGGCGUUAUUUGAAUUGAGUGUGAGCAGCGUUCUUCCACUUCCAGCUCCAGCUACCGCGGGAACUGAGCAUGUCGAGCCUGAAAACACCGUCACCGGGAACGCGAUGGGGUUGUUUAGACCUGCGAGCGAGCCACCUGUUCCAAAGAAAGGGCGCCAAACGUAUCGCAUGUGGAAGGCGAUGGUCGAAUUGGAAUCUUCACCAUUCAGAAAAUCUAGACUGACUGAAAGAAUUAAAUUGCUUCGGUUCAUUCCCCUUGAAAGUUAUCAUAUUAGUCCCAUCAGCAUCAAUGGAGUAACAUCGAUUAGUGAAUUUCUAGUUUCAUUUUUGAAGGCUUAUUUUCCAGGUCUUGAAAUUAAUCUGGAAAGUCUGAAUGACAUUGCACUAAUGGGCGUGGCUAACCGUUACCAUAAAACGACCUUGAAGAAACAGGUCCUUGUUACCGAUGUCUACACUAGACUUCAUAAAGCAACAGGUUUUGAUCAAAAGGAUUACCUACUCGGCCUAACUUGGACUGAUCUUUACCCAUCAGAAGAUUUGAACUUUGCACUGGGAGAGGCGCUCUUUAGUCGUCGCUGUGCUGUCUUCAGUUUUGGUCGAUUUGAACCACUUCUGCAUCAUCAACAUGAGCAAAUUGAUGGAGAUCGUCCGCAGAGAGCCAUCGAAUCUGAAAUAAAAAUGCUGCAUUCUUCAGGGGAAAGCUACUGCAGAAAUAUGCCAGAGCAUGCCGAGUGCAGAUCAAACUUACAAUUUAAUGAGCAUGAGGAAAGCUCUGUGUUAAAACCAAAGAACUCAACUGUUGGAAUUGCAGAAGUGACAGCUGAGGAAACGCUAAAGUCUGGUCGAUGUUCUUCACCACAGGAUACAUUACCGAAUCCACACAAGGAUGAAGAAAAUGAUGUCUUAGAAAUUACUGGUGAUCUACUUUGGAAAAUGAUGAGGGUUUCAAGUCAUGAGAUGUGUCAUUUAUUUGGCAUCUCCCACUGUGUCUUUUUCCACUGUGCUAUGAACGAGAGCAAAUCCGUCAAAGAGGCCUUGUCCCAACCCCUGUAUCUGUGUCCCGUUUGUCUUCGUAAGCUGCAGAAAUUCUUCGGUUUCGACGUCACUUCCCGCUACCGCGGACUCCUCGAGAUUUGCCAGGGAGUUCAAAGGUCAUACCCAUCGGAGCCGAUGAAAGAGACUAUUGCCUGGCUUCGCAGAGUACUGGAUUUUUUAUCAACAGACUGAACUUCUUGAUUCAUGUACAGUGUGCAACAGUCAGAUGUUGGAUCUUGGUAUCUUUCUCUGACCCCCAUCACCUAUGAAAUAUCCUAGGAUGAGAGCACCCCAUAUUCUCCUGGCCACCGACCGAAAGGAUGCCCUUGCAGUAUCCAUCUAGACCCGUUAUAAGUGCAAUGAAUGAAAGCAACUAACGGGUAAAGCCUUUACACAACCUCUUCUGCGUUUGACCUCUAUGCCUUCACAAGCUUCAGGAGUUGUCAACUUUUGUCAUCACUGCCUGCUAUCAAACUCUCUUGAGGUAUGUUUGGAGGUUCAAAGGUCAUCUGUCGGAGCCUAUGAAGGAGGCCCUCUAGAGGUCAUCUAGAGAAGAAUACUUUGUCAAGUGUACUUGUUCAUGUAGAUAUCCGCUUCAGUAAAUUUCAUGUAAUGGUAAAUUGUUUUGUUUAUACUUAUAGUUGAAAACUUGCCUAUUACGGAAAUCAUGCGAUAUAUCCCACGCUGUAUAGUGUAGGUACACGCAUUGUAUGAAGAGUUUCUUUCCGAAAAGGUUCUGCAUCCAUAUUUUUUUAUAAGUAGAACUGAGGAUAACAGCUUUUUUACUGUAAGUCCUUGUUAUGUUAGUGUCUUUUUGGAAUGAAACUAUUAUUGAUUGUUUUACCGAAGGUUACCAAACUAAAACAGGUUUUGAAAAACCCUAGUCUGCAAUUUUUUUUGCAAAUUUGCAUGAUUCAUGGGUAAUUUUUCUAAGAUUAGAUGGAUGUGUAUCUUGUUCUUGUUUUUCAUAUGACAUUUCACAUUUCAAUGAUGCAUGGUCAGAUUUUCUGUUGUGUUCUGAAGGAGGGUGCUCACAAUAGGUGAUUUCAAGUCUGGUGGUGGUCUUGUCUUGAUGUUGGAAGCACAAUUUGGUUUGCAUUUCAUAGCUCCAAAACCUAUCACAAGUGUACACAAAUAUUCCAGAUCACAAUAUUGACAGCGCAACACCUAAUGAGUGACUUUUUAGGACCAUCUUUAUUAUAUCUCUGGCGUAACUCAUGCAAAAAAUUGACCAAACACCACCACUGAAAGGUCAACACUGAACUUGAAAUCACCCAAUAAUAACAAAUUAUGUACACUGUUAAAUAUUUAUAUCCAUCUCACUUUUAGCAUUUCCCAAAGUUCACCCUCUCUAGACUUUCCCCAUCCUAAAAAAAAAAGGAAAAAAAGAUUAUAUUGAAAAUGUGUCAAUUGUAAAUGCCAUACAUUUGCUACUGUGCAUUUUUAUGUUUAACUCUCCUAACAAUACAAUUAGGAGCUCCAAUUUAAGCUCCUACACAUAUGCAUUAUGGUCAAUAUGAAUCGUAAUUGUUCAUCAUCAUUAUCAUGUACAAGAAGAACAAGUCUUUUGGCUCUUCUAGAAUUUCACUAAAAAAGAAUGACAGGUAUGAACAAUUAUUACAUAUUCCCGGGGAGUCGGGGACGUCUUUCGUGAAACAGGCUUCAGGUUUACCAACUUACAUACAGUAUUGUUUGUCUCGGUUAGUCCUCCAGUGACCUUUUCCGCAUUUAGACCCCAUCCAGUUCUUUUCUUCUUCGUUCGGUUGCUUUUUUUGUCUCUUUUUCAACUUCAACGAGAUCUUCAAUUAUCUGAGUCACUUCCUCCUCAACAUUGGUGAGAGUUUGCGCAGUCCCACUCCGCCUCCACUCUUGGCCAUUUCUCUUUACAACAGAGUCUCGUAGAACUUUGUACCGGACUGCACAUGUUCAAUUACCUAAUGAAGGUAAUUUGGCCAAGAUGCAUAUGUAAAUUUAUGUUGCAGGAGAUUAAUAGACAUCAGGACGGCGUUCGCUUUGUACUCUGCCACAUUUGCUGGCCUUGGAUGAUGGGCCCUGUACACUGUCCGGAGCUUAGUGAAGAGGUUGAUGCAAGUUCCCGUCUGAUCACUCUUGUUUUUUUCUCAGAAUCAGGACUUGGAAAGACACAUUAUUUUUGUUUACAGAUAUGAAGCAAUCAUUCUUAAUUGGUUCUCUAUUGAUGCACCAAUGUUAUACCAUAUAAAUUCAAGGCCUUUGACCCAUAUGUGAUAGCCACACUGUCAUGCGAGUACCGUGUCAUUCCGCUCAUCCUUAGCAGAUACACGAGGGAAUCGUGGAUCUGACCAGUCAGUGUUAUAACGUUGAAGUCUGUAAAUAAAAAUGUUCUUUAUUCUCUUUAGUUCUGUACAUUGAAACACCAGCAUAAGGUAACAGAUGGCAACCAUGCAAUGUCUAUAACUCGUGCUUUUUAAGGUUGUUCAUAAUCUCCUCCUACGCCUUGCCUUGUUCUUUUGUUCUCUCUUUGUGUUUGAAUGGGUUCACAUAUUCCACCUCUCUGCACAGUACCACGUUCAUUGUGUCUGUCUAUGAUGUUGCUCUGUUGAAAUGGAACAAUAAGGCAUACAAAAUAAAAAUCAGGUUUGUGAUAUUAUUCAUGAUUAAAAAAUUAAAUAGGACUGAGUCUACACCUCAAUUGUCUUUCCAAAUAUACAUAUCAGAAAGAAAGUUAUCGUACUAUCAAAAGACAAUUAUGGUGCUUGAAACUUGGUCUGACGGGAGUUCAUCUUUUACAGUCUUUAACUUUGCUUCUUACUUAAAAAUAUGUCUUUCUUGUUUGGAAAUUUUACUGCUGUGGUUUCAUAGAAAGACCCCACCAAUGUUCUAACAGCAGCAUCGAGACUGAACAUGCAGACUUUUGUACUUUUGAAAUUUUGUCUGAUUUUAGUAUUUUUUUAACUUUCUCUGCAUCUUUCAAAUCUGAGGCAGUUAUUGAAGACGAAUCAUCUUUUUUGUUUGGACUUUGCCUUAAUGCGAUAG